UUUUUUUUUUUUUUUUUUGUAUUUCAAUUUUGAGUUAUUUAUUUAUUUAUUUUUCAUAUUUGGACCAUUAAUGUCCUUUUUUUGCAUAUUUGUAUAGUUUGAUAAAUUCGUAUUUAGUGAAGAGAUUAAUGAAAGCGCUCAUUGCAAAAAUCUCUAUACUUCGUUCUGUUUUGUCUUCAUAUACUGGAAAAAAUUGGUUGUUUUUAUCUUUAAUUUAAUUUUGUUCCAAAAUGGGUGUUUUUGGGAAGUGGAUAAAAUCACUCGUUGGUUUGAAAAAGCCGGGAGCAAAUGACUUUGUAAGCUAGUAAUCUUUGUAUUAUCUUUAUAUGAUUUUUUUUUUUUAUGAUUUAUGCAAUGAUUUUUUAUUGAAUUGUGUUGAGCCUAAUAAUCUUUGUAUUAUCUUUAUAUGAUUUUUUGGUGUUUAAUGCAAUGAUUUUUAUAUUGAACUAUGUUGAGCUUAAUUCAUAUGUAAUGGUGUGUUUGGUUGGGUUUAAUAGUUGUUGUUGACUUCUUGUUUCCUUUUUGUUUAAUGAUUGUUAUUGUUGUGUCGUCCACGAGUUGCUCGUCGAAAAUCCCCGCUCGGUUUGUGCUAGACUGAUAGGGUUUGUCCCGAAACAAACACGAGCCACCCAUGAGCCGAGUCCCAAUGAUCGAGCUGACGAUAUCACUAUUUAGCCC
rnacentral:lncRNA from 1 species